rnacentral:tRNA from 1 species
CCCCUGGUGGCUCAGACCAUAAAGAAUCUGCCUUCAGUGCAGGAGAUCUGGGUUCGAUCCCUGGUCUGGGGA